UGGGGAAUAUUGGACAAUGGGGGGAACCCUGAUCCAGCCAUGCCGCGUGUGUGAAGAAGGCCUUAUGGUUGUAAAGCACUUUAAGCUAGGAGGAGGGUACUGGUAUUAAUACUACCAGCUACUGGACGUUACUCGCAGAAUAAGCACCGGCUAACUCUGUGCCAGCAGCCGCGGUAAUACAGAGGGUGCGAGCGUUAAUCGGAUUUACUGGGCGUAAAGCGUGCGUAGGCGGCUAAUUGAGUCGGAUGUGAAAUCCCCGAGCUUAACUUGGGAAUUGCAUUCGAUACUGGUUAGCUAGAGUGUGGGAGAGGAUGGUAGAAUUCCAGGUGUAGCGGUGAAAUGCGUAGAGAUCUGGAGGAAUACCGAUGGCGAAGGCAGCCAUCUGGCCUAACACUGACGCUGAGGUACGAAAGCAUGGGGAGCAAACAGG
rnacentral:rRNA from 1 species